rnacentral:rRNA from 1 species
AUUGAACGCUGGCGGCAGGCCUAACACAUGCAAGUCGAACGAGUGGCGGACGGGUGUGUAUUGUCUGGGAAACUGCCCGCUGGAGGGGGAUAACUACUGGAAACGGUAGCUAAUACCGCAUACCCUCUGAUGUGCGCAGAUGGGAUUAGCUAGUAGGGGGGGUAACGGCUCACCUAGGCGACGAUCCCUAGCUGGUCUGAGAGGAUGACCAGCCACACUGGAACGGAGACACGGUCCAGACUCCUACGGGAGGCAGCAGUGGGGAAUAUUGCACAAUGGGCGUAAGCCUGAUGCAGCCAUGCCGCGUGUAUGAAGAAGGCCUUCGGGUUGUAAAGUACUUUCAGCGAGGAGGCGUUACUCGCAGAAGAAGCACCGGCUAACUCCGUGCCAGCAGCCGCGGUAAUUC